GCUAACGCCAAGAAUUGCAAUUUUUUGUUUGGUAAACGUGCGUAUUAAAAACUAAAAUUUUGAUUACAGGCUGCGCAGUGAACCAGACAAAGUUACUAAAAACAUUGAGUAUAGAAUAGCUGCCAUAGUUUGUGUAUAUUUAAAAAAGUUUGGCAAAACUAUAAAGUUGAGAAAAUUCAUCGAGAAUUUUAGCAAUUGGAAGUAAAUUAGAUACGAAGUAAAUUGUUGGUGGUGUGCCCUCAACCACGGUUGUGGUCGUCAUUGGUUGGUCGGCUCUGCGAACGCAAGCGAGUGCCACCAGGAUUUUUUGAAAAAGAUCUGUUCUAAUACAUUCUCUAAAUCUACUCGUUUUAUAUGAAGCUCGUAAUUCAAAGCAAUUGGUUGAGAAUAAGAUAUGCUGAGAUCAUAAAAAAUGAUGGAAACUACAAGCGAUCAAGACGUGGAGAAUACCGAAACUAAGGAGGACUCAGUUAUAAAAAUCCUUCGAAAUGCAAAACU